rnacentral:rRNA from 1 species
GGCAACGGGACUUAACUCAUCACCCUGUGA